UUAAAGUAUUCGAAUACUGAUUUAGAGGUCUAUUACCAUGGCAACGGUCGAAGCUUCAAAGCAUUCAGGUCAGCCCUAGUUUUUGAUUUAUCAAUCCAUUGAUUUUCAUUUUCCCGCACAAGCUCCGUUAUGUCCACAGUGAAACUGGGAGCCUUGAUCAGUCAUUGCUAAUACUGUUAAUAAGUUCAGAACUUCUAAACAGCAGAAGAUUUGUGUGGUUCAGUCAGCUGUCUGUGGAGAUAACGCUGCUCUCAACAUGCAGUAGCUACUGUAAAUCUCAACUCUUAUAAAAGGAUUCUAAAUUCAGCACACAAUGGCCAGAAACAGGUCAAACCUGUAUAUUCACACUAGUAUACAGUCAUUAUAAAGAAACAGUUCUGAUACAUUCAUGGCUACAUAUCCGCGUUGUUCCCAUACUCCUUUAUCUCAGUGGUAAAGCCCCGUCAACAGGAGUCCACGUCCUGUACCAGACUGGUGAGAGCCAUUUCAACCUCAGCAGUGGGAUAUUUCACAGAGAGGGCUUAGGCUGUGAGCUACACUUCCUUUGGCUAGUUCCACUCACUCCCAUUUAACAAAGCACUCUUGGUUGGAAUCCAGUGAAAUUAGUACAGCAACUUUUGCUUUCAGACAAACCUGAUCAGGUUGCAGGAUUAAAGGCGGCAACAUCGUGAAUGUAGAACUUCCUGUCAGCCGAUCACAUGAGCUUUUCUUUAAUUUAUGAAAACCUUUGUAUUUAACCUUUUUGUUUUGCGGUUAGAAAACAUGUUUGAAGUAUUACUGUAGAAGAAACAUUGAGGUAUACCUUGACAAAAUAAAAAUUUGGUGUAAGUUUUAUCCUUCCUGGUUUUCCAACUUAUUCUGGGCCCUUUAAACAUGUUUUGUAUUAGUCUCAUUUCAUUUCCUGUUGGCUGCAUUUUUUAAAUGGUACGGCAGAGGAAAGAGUCUGACUUCUAACCUUAAAGGUAUAAUAUGCAAGAAUUAAUGAAAAAACACUGUAUAGGCUGAUACCAAAAUAGUCCCAGUCACUCUAUAGCUCGCUCGACCAUCGUUGCGCUCUCUCUCUCUCUCCCCCCCUCUGGGCUCGUGGAGGAGUGGAGGUGUGGCCAACUUUGAAUGCAAUGUGUUUCCAAACAGCAACCGACAACAGUUCCAUAUUACACCUUUAAUAUAACAAAUUGUAAUCUCCAUUAAACCACAAUAUAAGGUCUCUUUCUGCAACCACGAAGGGUGGAAUGCUUUCUUCUAUGCAUGAUUUGAAUUGUGCAUUCCUCUACUUCUUGCUUUUAAAAUGCAGGACUGUGCAUGCUACCUGACUAAGUUAAAGUCAAAGUCAAGUUUAGUGAAACCGCUCUAAGCUAGAGUAAAAAGUCUAUAAAGGUUUAAUGAAGCAAGAUCUGCAUCCACGAGUCCAGUUUUCUAAGCCUCCUUUGUGAAAUCCCCUCAGUGUUCACCACAGUCACAGGGCUGCUGUCUGUCACUUUUCUGGUCAUAAGGAGGCUUUUUUUUUUUAUUUUAGUGCCUUGGAUUUAUGCUCCUCCAUUUCUGUGAAUUUGGCCCAUUCUGAAAAGAACUUUGUUUAACCAGUGCAGGUGUUCAGACCUCGGAGUAACAUCUGGCAAACCAAUGUGUUGACUUCAAGCUGUCAUCUUGAGGUGUUCCAACCUGCUGUUCGGUUGUCACCUCAGUUACUGACUUCAUAAAUCUGCAUGGAAAUAUCUUUAGUGGCAUCAUCAUCAUCAUCAUCAUCAUCAUCAUCAUCAUCACAAUCAAAAUAAAUAGAGAACAAUGUAGGUGGCAUGAAGGCCUUUAAAGAUCAUGUACAUUCUCAGUUGUCCCAAAUUGUACCCUAAAUUCAAAGUGAGUGCAGUAACGUAGAUGGGCUAGUGUAGACGGUUGAUUGAUGGGAGAGUGAUAAUGGCAUUAGUUUGAAUUCAAAAGAAAAACUUGAAAUGUGAUAAAGUCACUGUAAAACAAAAAAGCAAAAAAAAAAAAAUUCCUGACGUUUCUCUGUGCAUUCGUAGGCUUAGCAAUAUUUCACGAAAAUACUGUAUUACAUCAGAAAACUCACUGUAAAAAAAUGUAUAGCUAGCACAAUAUUUUGAGCAGCAGAUCAGUUGUGAUCUUCAGCUUUAGUGUGUUGAGGAUUCAAGUACUAAACAGGUCAAAUCUACUCAUAUCAUUGUGUUCGUAGCCUUGGACUUAAUUGUAAAGUUAGUCUAAAUUUAGCUGCCCUCUUUGUAAAUACGCUCAUUCGCAUUCUUGCUAAAAGUUAGAUGAGAAGAUGGAUAUCAGUCUUUGUACAGUUAAUAUGUAGCUGGAGCCAGCGAGUCUGUUAGCCUAGCUUAGCAUAAAGACCGGAAACAGGGGUAAACAGCUAGCCUAGCUCUGUCCAAAGGGAACAACAUCUGCCUACCAGCACCCUCAAGGCUCGCUAUUCAACACUGAGAUAACUAGCUGUAGCUGCAUAUUUAUCUACAAAUAGUACGUUAAAUAUGAAGCUAGAGCCAGAAUGUGAUUAGAUUACGGUGACCAGACGUCCCGGUUUGUCCGGGACAGUCAGGGUUUGUCCAGGACAGUGCCGGUUUUCAAGCUGGGUGUCCCGUAUCCCAACAAAUAUCUGUAAAACACUCAAAUGCCCGGUUUUCAAGUCACUGACAAAUUGUCCCUGUUUUCAGCACAAUUCAAAUAAUAAUAUUAUACUUAUAUAGACCGUUCCACUCAUUAAUUAACUUGUGCGCAUUGGUAUACAGAGAGCCAACACAGCACACCGCUGCAGUCUCUGUAGAGAGUGAUGCUGCAAGUUGUCAAGCCACAGUUACGCACAGACACAACAGAUAUCCGCUGUUACAUUUAGUGUAGUUUUGAUCCACAGAACCCUCCGUGCUUAUGUGCACAUUAAACGUGUGUUUUGAUUAAUUAUUCUACACAGUUCCUUCUGCGCAUCAACAGGCUUUUAGCUCCUCUUAUAACUCCCUCAGGACCGGCCGUUCCGUCUUUCUCCCGGACGGCGUCUCCAUCCUGGACAAAAUGUCCUCUAAGCUCCGCAAUGUUUAUUACAAUAGCCUGAGGCUGUGGUGAGCAACUUGAUGUGAUAGAGAUUGUUCAGGUUCAAAACUAAAGUUGAAAAAUAAUUUCCAUAGUCGCAAACAACAAUACGUUUCCUCUGAGGAAAACUCUCUACAGGACUCCCAAACUGUCAGUGCAUCAUGACGGGGAUAGUCUGUGAUUAAAGGGGGAGAAAGUAGUGAAUGUGGUGAGUCAUGAUCGUCACAGUCUCUAAUGCCCCCCCCUAAAAUAAUACCUUCUUUCUGAUCCCACUCCGUGCUCAAAUGUGCCACAGGUUUGUCAAGUUAGCCAUCCUGAUGAAAAUGCCUAUGGUGCACUGGCAUGCAUGAACGGGGGCGUGCAUGAACGUGCAGUACACUCAAGGGUCCCGGUUUGGGGGUUUCAAAAUAUGGUCACCCUAGAUUAGAUUAGCUGGAAACGGGUAAACAGCUAGUCUGACUCUGUCUAAAGGUAACAAAAUCUGCCCUGAAAGCUUGCUUAUUAACACUUCAUUUUUUUCUAGCCUUAAUGCUAAGCUAACUAGCUGUAGCUGCAUAUUUAUCUACAAAUAGUACGUUAAAUAUGAAGCUAGAGCCAGAAGGCAAUUAGCUUAGCUUAGCUGGAAACAGGGAAACAGCUAGCUUGGCCCUGUCCAAAAUUUGCCUAACAGCACUUCUAAAGCUCACUAGUUAGCAUAUCCUAUCUUGUUUGUUUAAUCUCUACAAAAACUGAAAUGUAAAAAGAGAAUUUAUGGUUUUAUAGCGUGCAAACUGUGUAGUUCUUGACCAGGCACUGUGACUUUCUAGCUAGCUGUUUUACCCUGCUUGCAGUUUUUAUGCUAAGCUAAGCUAACAGACGACUGGUUACAGCAACGUACAUUACAGAUAGACAAGAGUGGUAUCAAUCUUCUCACUGAACUCUGGCAAGAAAGCGUAACUUAAAAAAUAUUGAACUAUUCUUUUUAAAAAAAUAGCAUUCAUUUGGAGCGUCUUCAGUUAGCGUAGCAUAACAUUACUUUACAGUAGGUUAGAUCAACGUUUAGCCAGGCAGACCCCAAAAAAAUGCUUGACUUUAAAUUUAAAAUUUGCCUCAUCUUCAAGAGAUACUUAAAAUCUUGUGGUAAAAAUGUGUGAGAUUUACACAUAAUAUAAGCUGAUUUAUCAUUUUGACACAUAGCUAGAAAGCUGCGAAUGCUCAGAGAAACCUCCACCAUACUUUGUGUGACAUGUGCCUUUAAUUGUGGCUAGUAUCACAACCUAGACAUGUAAAUCAGGGAUGAUGAGACAUUGAUAAUGGACCAGAUGUGUAAAGAUGGCUACUUCCUGCCGUGACAUCGUUGAUUCACCCUGGGUCGUCGAGUGUUUCUGAGCUUCCUUACAACUCUCCGGGUGGGUCCAGGAAUCUGCCUGCUUUAACCACCUGAACCUCUUUAAACACUGAAGGUGUUGUUUCCUUGUACAGUCGACUAACAUAAGCCCGUAGCUUAUGACCUGGUUCAACUGAUCCGUGAAGUGGAUUCAGUUGCUUUUGUAGACCAGUGCAGUUCUUGACUUUGAGUGGCGUUCCAAAAUCAAAGACGGCUAUUUCUCCAUACAUAAAAUGUUAUCUUGAGAUGCAAAAUGGUGUAACUUUCUCCCCUAUCUCUCUUUCCUUCUCGGAACUGAAGUAAUGAAAAGAACUGAAAAGAUUUCCGAGGUUGAGCCAGGUCUUAUCUUUUACCAGAGAUCAGUGUACCUUUCUAGUCUUGCGAUGCAUGUACAUCUUUAUUAUGGAUUUUGGAGACUUUCAGUAGUUUUGGACAUGUUUAAAAAAAGACAAACAUAAGUUUAGUUUUUUUAAAAUCAGUGUUACUUUGUCUAAUUUCUCCUUGAGUACAGCUGGAGUAGCCAGUGAUGAGUUCUGACAACCAUCAACUUAGAGUCAAUGACACAUGGGGAACUUUUACCUUGUAGAAACGGUUAUGUAACAUGAGUAAUGAAUUAUGAAACUGUUUUUUUUUUUUUUAAAGUUCAUCUUUCUUUUUCAAAAAGUAUUAUUGAUGUCAACUACUCUCUCACUAAUCUGUUAGGACCUUUGCUUUCACUUGCCGUUCACGCUGCAGCCAUGUUGCAUUUUUAUCCCAGUAAGCAUCCUCUGCAGUGCAUCGACAAAUGGCUCAAGUUAAAAUAACCUCUAUAUUGUCAUUAGAGCAUCAGCAGUAUGGAGUUGCUUUGCAUUGUAAAAAAAAAAAAAAAAAAAGAGGGGAGGCUGGCAUACUGUAUAUAAUGAUGUCAUUUGUCUGAGAAAAGAUUUGUACUAUUGUUUCAAAUGUGCACUUAUCCUGAUAUUUUCUUUUUUUUGCUGUUUAAUAUCAGUCAAAUGCUAGAGCUCUUGAUAAUAAACUUAAAUGAUGUGUGGUAAAACUAGUAUCCUCUAUAGCAGGGUUGAGUGGCACACAGUCAUUAAUAAUGAAAUGUCCAUAGUGCUGCAGAACGUUAAUGAAAGACGGUGUUGGUUUUUCAUUUGACAGGGAAAAUCCACCCUAAAACUGAAUUCAUUAAUAAAGCACACAGGAAUUUUGACUGACAUGGGACUGAGAUAAUGACUGGAUUUCCAUUUUGAGACAAGUUCAUUCAUGUGAUAUAUUAGACAGGUUGGCAUUGUGACAGUAUUUUUAGUGGAAGUUUGGGUUCAUUUUCUGGUUACUACCAGUUAGCAGCACAACAAUUAAUUCGAUCCAAUAAGUGCAUUAAUGCUUAAAGUGAUACUCAAAUUUCUCAACCUACUCUGAAAAAAAUUAUCAUUUCAACCCACUCAACCAGCCUGGUCUCCUAAAUAUUACGUUCCCAUACAACUAAACUGCAUGGUGAAUUACUUCUCGAGGGGAACUUAUUUUGUCGUGGUUUGUUUUUGACGUAUCACAAAUCCAUUCCACGGAACUUCACGACGGGGUGAUGGAUGGGUCAACAAACACCAGACUUUUGACCAGUGUUCGUGUCCCAUGAGAAACUAAAACGUGCACUUAUUUUAAUGAUGAUGUUUGAAACCUAACCAAGUAGUUUUGUUGCCUAAACCUAACCAAACAGCUUUGUUGUGUUUUCUUUCAAUUUCAUAGUCAUUUUAAGCCAAACCAUGACGUAUUUUUACUAAGCCUAACAGCGUUUUAGUUUUGUUUCAAUUUGCAAUGUUAACCACAUGUUUAAAACUGAAUAAAAGUGUGACUGUAAUCCGGGAGAAAAUAUAUUUCCCUCGAAACGUAAUUGAGAAUGCAGUUUAGUCGUAUGGGAAUGUCAUUUUGUAGGAGACAGGUUGACUCAACAUACUGACAGUGGAAAUGUCCAUUGACAUUUGGAUACUUUUUUUUUCCUGCUGUGAAAACGUAUCACUGUAACUGACUUUUAACAAUGUUAAAAACAUGGAUGGGUGUGAAAGAGCGUUUGUGAACCCCCUCGAGGGCUUUCAACCAUAGCUCACGGUCUUCCCAAGGAGAUGAAGUUUGCUCAGUUCUUGUAUCACAUGAACAAGGUUAAAGAUUAUGUGAUGCAGUUAAAAGUUCUGAAAAAUAGCCAGCUAGUGGACUUUGAGUUAACAUGUUUUUUGUAAAAUUUUGGGUGGAGAUACAGUAAAACCCCCGAAAUGAUGCGAGUAGUUCAGUUUUAAAGGAAUAUUUAAGACAUUUUGGGAAAUAGCCAGCCUGGCUCUCUCUUAAUUUCUGAAAUACACAACACCUGUUAAACUAAUGAACAUGUCAUAUUUCAUUUGUUUAUUUCAAACACAAACAGAAAUGUAAAAAGUUAUGAUAAUUUCAGCACACAAGUCUCCCAUAAAACCACAACCUUUGUUUUUAAAUUUCUGGUUGUGUACAGAUUCAACCAAUAAAAUACAACUUGUUAGUUGGUUACCUUUACAGGUGUAAGUAGGCACAUUUAUCAAGCUGUAUUUUCCUAAAUGUAACAAGUCUUUCAACAUUGUAAAGAAAACACAUUUUUGUACCUUCUAGAAUGUACCACACUUUAGCUUAGGGAAAAGUUUGCCUCCUACAGUAACUAAAGUAACCUAUGAGAAUAACGUUUUAUGGUGGAUUUUCCCUUUCAUUUUAGGGGAUAAAAAAAGUCAUUGGUCAUUCCCUGGCUUUGUCAUCUCAUGUAUAGAGGCCCAGCUUGUUUUUAGUUUUUUUCAGUCACCAGUGAUGGAUAAUGACAGGUGUUUCAUUACGAUGAACGUUUUAUUUUCAUUUUAUUUCUGACUGGUGUUCAGUCGCCCUUGGACUGACAAAAAGAACCACAUGCUAGUUUGGAAGGUGUUACAGACCUCGAGUCUACAAAGGUCCAACCUUCAUAUCAGCUCUGUUGUGUCACGCCAGAGAUGAUGAAUUUCUUUGCAUUCGUGGCUGAGCUCCAACCUGCUUGUUGUUUUACUGUGCCUCCAAACACCAGGUAUAGAGUGUAUGUUCGACUUUUUACCGCUGGAAUUGAACCAACAGAAGCAGUUUAAAGGCUUUUUCAUGCAUUGGUUUGAUUUUUAGGGGGAUUAUUAAAAAAAACGUAAUACUAAGGCGAAUCUUGUACUAUAGUGGGAAAUGUAAAUGUAAAAAAGAUGAUGGAGGACUGUUGCAUGCUGGCCAGUUGGGGUCAUUGAAGAAUUGGUGCUAAUGACGCAUUUCUACAACAGGGAUUUUAAUUAAGAGUCUCCUAUAACUGACUGGUUGUGACAUCAUUAUCCAAUCCUGCUGUUUCCAUGGAAACAACUAACUUAAGAUGAGUCCAGUCGAGAUCAUGGCAGGAAAAUAGAUGUGGCGUCUUGGUCUGGUAUCUAGCCUUCUGAAAACAACGCAAAUGUGGUCAUAUGGCAAGUAGCAGGGGAAACAUGAACCAUUUGGGAUCUCAGACCAAAGUUUAAGACAAGAAACAGCAUGCGCGCAUUUAGGAUCAAGCUGUACAUUUUGAUUCAUCCUGGCAAUGUAAGGUGUCAUAUGGGAUACCCAAUGGCACUAUGAAGAACACUGCUGAGGACAUCCACAUAUUGCAGAUGCACUGUUCUUAAGAUGCUACUUAGUUGCACUGUCUUAUGUUUGUUGUUUUGGCAUGACACUGUCCUCAAUGCACUCCUCUGUCUCCAGUACAUUAGAACAGUACUAUAACAUGUGUCAUUUGGUACUCAUAAAGUAGGAUGCCACUACCAAAACUGUGUAACACUAAAAGAUGUAUUUUGAAACAGUAAUGCAAUCACUGUUAAUUCCCAUGAAACUUUUCAUAUUAGGAUCAAUGACUAGUACUUUACCUUCCGUGUUGGCAGCUGUUCACAUAAUGAAAGGUUCCAUGUCAUCUGACAGUGUUAACGGUAGUUGUUGGCUUGUUCACUGUUUUUCUCAUGAAAUGUUUGUUGUUUAGGGUGUUUUCCAGCUAAAUGCAGGGUAGUCGCUUUUCUUAAUAUUCAAAUGUCGUGAUUGUGUGCUGUUCUAAUGUUCUGCUGUACAGAGUGUAUUUUUUACCCAUGAUCUAAUGGGUUGCAGGAGGGGAAUGCUAGUGAUUUAAUCUGCAUUUUGCUUGAAUGAAUGAAUUCGUCAGCACCAAGGGAUACUCAAAAUCCAGCGAGGCAUUAGACAGAAUUAAUCAAUUCUUACUCUUAAAGCUACAACAUGGUUGUGUUGUCCUGCUAAUGUGGUCUGGGGACUGAAUUAUAGACGUCAACAAACCUUGAUUUUGACUUGAUAUCCCAGAAUAUAUAUAUAUAUAUAUAUAUAUAUAUAUAUACUGUAUAUAUACUGUAUAUGUCAAACAUACAGCGAUAAUGCAGAAAGCACAAGAAUUUGAAUUGAUGAGUCCCAAUUCAGUUUGGAAACUUUCAACCCUUUUAACUGUAGAAGAGUGCCAUGUGACCAUUUUGCAUCCCUACUUCACUAAGUCCAGUUGGGCUUGCAACAUGGUUUAUGUGGAACCACAUAUGAAAAGAAUUUUCUUUGAGGGUGCUUGCUGGUCCACAGCAGAUUUCAACAGUGGUUUAUUAGCAGACUGUAUAUAACAUCAACAAAUCCUAACUAGACACGCGCUGGGCUGUUUGACAGGAGAGUGACAGGAAGUGAAGACACGCAGAGAAUCUGUAGAUACUUAAACCAGGGUAGUCAAAAAAGCUGUAAACCUUGUGUGCACUUUUGGGCAUUUUUUUGUUUUCCUUUUGUACAUACUACUAGCAUUUAAGAUGUUUGGGUUGACAUGUCUGGUUAUAGUGCAAUAUAUUUUGUAUGCAAGCAGUUUCAAUAAAUAAAGGUCGAUCUUCCUCCGUUA